CAGCAAAGGACGUCCACCUACAGGAGCGAUCAGAUGCUGUCUCUAUAUACAUCCGAUCCGAGCACUGGCAUCAACCACAAAUGAAUGGUAAUUAUCUUUAAAGCAAUCACUCUGUCAUCUCCGGUAGCCAUUUCUUUUAUGGAAUAGGGGUUCUCCCUGAUUGCUUUUGCAGCAUGCAACCAUAUCUUCAUCUCGUAGACCACAACUCUUUGCUUGUGGAAUUCCAAUUGGAUAUCUGAAGAAGCUCUGACACCAUGCAGAAUUACUCUUCCAUCGAUCAUCGCUGGAUUUUGUCUUGGACAAACCGUCGGCCAAGGCAUCCUCCUCCAUGAAGCAUGAAAGCAUGCUGUAAGAAGGAUUACUCCUCGCAUCAUCCCAGCUACAUGCGGAAACUGAUUCCCUGGUAUCAGAACUGGCACAGCUUAUAGGUGUUUUAUUUAUGUAGAUCUUUUCCUUACUGUGGCUGUGCCUUCCCGACAACAUUUUCUUGAGCUUGCUAAAUAGUUUUCUUCUAUGUGGGCUCUGAUGUUUAGAUUUGCCUACACUGCUACUGCUCGUCGUGGAAGAUACAUCAGAGGAACUGUUCAUAGGCUCGUCACUGUUCUCUGGCACCUGCGUAUCAGAUUCCUCAAGGUACCAAUUCUUCUCCAUGUUAGCCAAAUUUGCAUGUUUCUUCUCUGUCUCAGCACUCACCAAUUCACUUGUGCAGCUUUCUUCUCCUUUCUCGGAAGAGAACUCAGGUUUCCUUUGCUCAAAAUUUGAGCAGUCUUCGAUCAAUCUAACUUCCAACACUU
rnacentral:lncRNA from 1 species